rnacentral:rRNA from 1 species
UACGAAGGGUGCAAGCGUUACUCGGAAUUACUGGGCGUAAAGCGUGCGUAGGUGGUUCGUUAAGUCUGAUGUGAAAGCCCUGGGCUCAACCUGGGAAUGGCAUUGGAAACUGGCGACCUAGAGUGCGGUAGAGGGUAGUGGAAUUCCCGGUGUAGCAGUGAAAUGCGUAGAGAUCGGGAGGAACAUCUGUGGCGAAGGCGACUGCCUGGACCGGCACUGACACUGAGGCACGAAAGCGUGGGGAGCAAACAGG